CUGGAUAACUGGUGAUAAAAACUAGAGCAAGAGAUAAAACCUAUAAUUCUAAUUAAUAUUGAUAACUCGUAAAUAAAUCUAAACAAAACAACAGCAAUGCACCCUAAGUUAAAGCUUAGAUAUUACUCAAUAAGCGGAACUUACAAAUCGGUCGGAGAUCGUGUCGAUGCAGCCCUGCCAAUCCGUACGAACUCGUGAAAAGAAAAGGUUCUUGGCGAAGUCGCCGACUUGAAAGUAAAGUGCGAGGAGUAAGUAAAUUUGUUGUAUUGAUUGAUGUCCUUUACAAACCUCUAGAGGUGACUAUUUAUAGCAUGUUACAACUGAUUUCCUAACCGACUAGGAUCUAUCUCUAAUUUUAAAUAACAAUAAAUAUUUACAAACACAACUCGUAUCGGAGUUGGUUAUCAUAUCCCACGGGCCAACCUUCUUCUUUAGCUAAUCUUCUCUCCGGCCCACUUUAGGCCCAUACUGGCCAAGCCGCUCCAGCUCCCAAUCGGCCAAUCCUUGCUGACUUCUUUUACCAAUCGGCCAAAACACUGUAGCUUCAAUCGGCCGAUUCCCAACUGUAGCUUUUAGCUUGCCGCGUCGGCCAAUCUUUUCCCUCCUUGACGCUGAUUCAAAAUAUGUGUCAACAACCCCCUAGGCUACAAGCCGAGUUCGCGAUUUCACCCUCAACUACAAAACCAACCGUUCUGACUCCUCGUAUGUGCAAAACUAGUUGUGUGACCACCCCGACCCGAAUCCACCCCAGUUUCGGCCAACGUGGCGAUAUAUAAGCUCCACAACACAAAUCCAACGUGGCAUGGGCCCACAUGUCAUGUCUCUUCUUUCUCCCGCAUUCAUCUCUCUCUCCUUUCCUCCUCUCUCUUUCUUCCUCUGAUCCUGCAUUGUUAACCUGGACGAGGAGGUUGUGAACGCAAGCGGCGUAUCGGAGCUCAGUCACGUCUCCCGUCGCACGUCCGGCCGCCACCCCAGCGCUCCUCACGCGGGUCGUGGCCCUUGCCGUGCUUGUGCUUGUCCCGGUUGCGGUGGCGGACCACGCGCCACUGGUAGAGGAGCAACUGGGCGUGUUCUCGUUGUGGAUGGGAAUUGAGUGCUGCACCAGCUGGUAUGGCGUCCAUUCACUAGUCCUCGCCUUCAGGUUCUUAGGGCGGGACGUGCUCGGCGAAAUGCGGCAACGUGGAGGCCUCGGUGAACUGGCUCGUGUCCCCGCAAGACCUGCAGCUCCGGGGCCGAGCACAUGCAAGACAUAUCUCGGUGAAGUGGCUGGAGUAGUUUUCUACUAGCUACUUGCAUCCCGAUUGGAGCGGUGGAAAAUUGGAUGGCAUGAUGGAGGAAAGGGGGAUGUGCUGCUAUGGUUUGGAUUUUUGAGCCGCAGAACAGGGUGCCUAUCAUCGGCGCCAUCUGCCGGCUUAUCUUCCACCGUGGUUCCCUC
rnacentral:lncRNA from 1 species